rnacentral:snRNA from 1 species
GUGCUCGCUUCGGCAGCACAUAUACUAAAAUUGGAACGAUACAGAGAUUAGCAUGGCCCCUGUGCAAGGAUGGCA